rnacentral:lncRNA from 1 species
AUGUCAUGCACAUUAUAUCCUAAUAUAUUCCCUCCUAAUUCUCCUCCUAAAUUAUCAUGGUUUCAGUUACAUUUGACUACAUAAUGUUUCAGUUACAUUUGACUACAUAAAUUCUCAGUUACAUUUGACUACAUCAUUGUAUAUAUAUAUAUGUGAUUGAUAAAUGAAAGAGUACACACUUCUCAUUUUUCAAUUAUUUCUCUCACGUUAUCAGCACGAGAAUUCUCCACUGGGAUUAACCAGCAAUCCUGCAACCACACAACGGAUUCAUCAACAUCUUUAGAUUCCGAACAUCUUCGUUCCUCAUAAUCCGGCCUCUAACUCUAUCCGGGAGGAAACUGGCGACAAACUCGAAAGAUUAGGGAGCAAACUGGCGACAAACUCGAAAGAUCAGGGAGGAAAAUGGCUAUUUUUAAACUAUUGGAGCAAAACCGUUAAAAUGACCAAACCAUAGGGAGCAAAACGGAAGUUUACUCAAAAAGUUAUUUGUAAAUGGCCUAUAUUGGAAUUGGUAUGUCUAAUUACAAUUUAAAAAAAAAGUAACAUAUGUAUAUGUAUCGGAAUUU